CAGCAGCCGCGGGAAAACGUAGGGUGCAAGCGUUAUCCGGAAUUAUUGGGCGUAAAGAGCUCGUAGGCGGUUUGUCGCGUCUGCUAUGAAAACUGGAGGCUCAACCUCCAGCCUGCAGUGGGUACGGGCAGACUAGAGUGCGGUAGGGGAGAUUGGAAUUCCUGGUGUAGCGGUGGAAUGCGCAGAUAUCAGGAGGAACACCGAUGGCGAAGGCAGAUCUCUGGGCCGUAACUGACGCUGAGGAGCGAAAGCAUGGGGAGCGAACAGGAUUAGAUACCCCCGUAGUCCCUGUCUCUUAUAC
rnacentral:rRNA from 1 species